CAUGUACUCCCUCCAUCCAGAAAUACUUGUCAGAGAAAUAGAUGUAUCUAUAUGUAUUUUAUUUCUAGGUACAUCCAUUUUUAUCUAUUUCUCCGACAAGUAUUUUCCGACGGAGGGAGUAUUUG
rfam:Triticum aestivum genome assembly, contig: Triticum_aestivum_CS42_TGACv1_scaffold_404488_5BL